CCUCCCGAGCCCUUUUGGGGAGUUGCAGCGAUGAGAACGAAAAAGGCGUUAAAAUGCAAAAAAAUAUAAAACGGUGUGUCUGAUAUAUGAAACAACUUCCUCAUAGCUAUUCAAAUAGGUUCAAGAAGAGGCUGCCUGAUUUUUUGGCUCAAAUCACUUGUGCCACAAAUGAUUUCUUUGAAAACCUGGGCAUUGUUCAAAAGGCAACUCCCUUCCACAAAGAAAAGAGGCGACCACUUCCUUGUGCCUCACAAAGAUUGUCAGACAGACUCGCUGAACUGAAUCUUGUCACACCAGAGCACAGUCUGUGUUCUGUCAUCUGAAACAACAUAAUGCUGUUCCUAUUAUUUUGUGGCGGAUGUUUUGCGUUGUCUGCAGGGCAAACCUUUGCUCCAACACCUUCAAUGGGACAAGGGAACAGCACAACACAGGUAACAACACCUCCAGCUCCCACUACUCCAUAUGUGGACCCACCUUUUGGUACUGACACAGCUACUAGUGGAUUUGCAAUUCUUCGAACAGCUGUCACUUCUUAUCAGGAGCUAAAUAAGACUACAGUUGAUCCAGUCUUGAGUCAGCUCUAUGACGUCAUUGGUGCGCAGCAACCUAAUCUGGAAUUUCAGCUGACUGUGAAAACUGUCCAGAAGAUUUGAUGGAUUAUGAUUCAAUGCAUAACAGGUUAACAUUUUUAUGGCACAUCAUGUGCUGCAACUUAUACAGUGUGCCGAUUUGAACUAUUAUACUACUUACUGAAUUUUCUACAAUAUUUUUAAUUCUGUUUCAGUAAAAAAAAUUUAAAGAGAUGCUACAGAGGUUUGUAUUCGACUCUGAAUUCCAAGUCGAGAACUCGGGCCUCUUUCUAGAGCUCCGACUUUUUGACCUGAAGGUCACUGACGUCAUGAUUCAACCUCGUUUUUUUCAGCGUUCCCAGUUGUCUUGAAAGCAGAGAAUGGCAGACUUUGAUGACAAAGUUUGCCCACAAGAAGGACUGCCAUGCCACCUGAUGUUGUGUAGUAAGCUGUUAGUAGCCCAUGUGUGUCACCCUAAGUCACACCCUUUCCCUCUCAGAAUUUAGCCUCGUGUUCUGACUUGGUGGACUGAUUAGCCUGUUUUAGAGAAAUGUCAUCAUCGAAUAUUAUAAGAGCUUUCAUUGUCUCCUUAUAUGCCCCCGUUAUUUAUCCUACAGUUCUGACUUGGCUAUACAGGCAAAAUACUGUAAGAAUGGCUGAUGUUCUGAAUGCUGUCGCUGACCAUUUCAAAAGUGUUGAACAAAUAGGCAUAUCAACUACAUCCGUCUUGGCUUGCUCAUCAUUAAUGUCUUAAUCGAAAUUACGGCUUGCCUCUUAUCCGCUCAUCGUUCCCUUAUGCCAUAGUUUGUACAUCUCAAUUGUUAUAUAGGUCUAUCUCAUUAGUAUCUAAUAAUUUUAAGCAAUGUUGGGAUUAUGCAUUUCAUUGUUUUGCUUACUUUGUGUAUUAUAAUUAGCUCAUGUGCUUUUCUUCCGCUAGGAGGGGAUACUAUAUAAUGUUGUUGGGUCUGUAACCAUGUUUGCCAGUGAUAGUCUCUUCCCAUUCAAAUAUUUUUUGUUCAACAAAAAGUUAAGUAAUGGACAUGUGAUUUCAGAUAAUAUUUGGAGGGUUGUUUUGUUUGCGCAAUGCGCUGUCUGUGCGUCUGUAUAUUGUCUAUAAAAGUGGAUCCUCGUGAUUGUGUUUUCCUUCCUUUUUAGACCAAAAUAGGCCUAAUAAAAUACUUCAAGAAGCUUCAAGAA